rnacentral:rRNA from 1 species
AGAGUUUGAUCCUGGCUCAGAAUGAACGCUGGCGGCAUGCCUAACACAUGCAAGUCGAACGAAGGCUUCGGCCUUAGUGGCGCACGGGUGCGUAACGCGUGGGAAUCUGCCCCUUGGUUCGGAAUAACAGUUGGAAACGACUGCUAAUACCGGAUGAUGACGUAAGUCCAAAGAUUUAUCGCCGAGGGAUGAGCCCGCGUAGGAUUAGGUAGUUGGUGUGGUAAAGGCGCACCAAGCCGACGAUCCUUAGCUGGUCUGAGAGGAUGAUCAGCCACACUGGGACUGAGACACGGCCCAGACUCCUACGGGAGGCAGCAGUGGGGAAUAUUGGACAAUGGGCGAAAGCCUGAUCCAGCAAUGCCGCGUGAGUGAUGAAGGCCUUAGGGUUGUAAAGCUCUUUUACCCGGGAUGAUAAUGACAGUACCGGGAGAAUAAGCUCCGGCUAACUCCGUGCCAGCAGCCGCGGUAAUACGGUGGGAGCUAGCGUUAUUCGGAAUUACUGGGCGUAAAGCGCACGUAGGCGGCUUUGUAAGUAAGAGGUGAAAGCCCAGAGCUCAACUCUGGAAUUGCCUUUUAGACUGCAUCGCUUGAAUCAUG